UACGUAGGGUGCAAGCGUUAAUCGGAAUUACUGGGCGUAAAGCGUGCGCAGGCGGUUUUGUAAGUCUGACGUGAAAUCCCCGGGCUCAACCUGGGAAUUGCGUUGGAGACUGCAAGGCUAGAAUCUGGCAGAGGGGGGUAGAAUUCCACGUGUAGCAGUGAAAUGCGUAGAGAUGUGGAGGAACACCGAUGGCGAAGGCAGCCCCCUGGGUCAAGAUUGACGCUCAUGCACGAAAGCGUGGGGAGCGAACAGG
rnacentral:rRNA from 1 species